rnacentral:rRNA from 1 species
CCUACGGGCGGCAGCAGUGAGGAAUAUUGGUCAAUGGGCGGGAGCCUGAACCAGCCAAGCCGCGUGAGGGAAGAAGGUACAGCGUAUCGUAAACCUCUUUUGUCAGGGAACAAAGGCGGGGACUAGUCCCCGGAUGAGGGUACCUGAAGAAAAAGCAUCGGCUAACUCCGUGCCAGCAGCCGCGGUAAUACGGAGGGUGCGAGCGUUAUCCGGAUUUACUGGGUGUAAAGGGGGCGCAGGCGGCAGCGCAAGUCAGGGGUGAAAGCCCGGGGCCCAACCCCGGGACGGCUGUUGGAACUGGGCGGCUGGAGUGCAGGAGAGGCAGGCGGAAUGCGUGGUGUAGCGGUGAAAUGCGUAGAUAUCGGGAGGAACCCCGGUGGCGAAGGCGGCCUGCUGGACUGAGACUGACGCUGAGGCCCGAAAGCGUGGGGAGCAAACAGGAUUAGAUACCCCAGUAGUC